AACGAACGCUGGCGGCAUGCCUAACACAUGCAAGUCGAACGAGACCUUCGGGUCUAGUGGCGCACGGGUGCGUAACGCGUGGGAACCUGCCCUUAGGUUCGGAAUAACUCCCCGAAAGGGGUGCUAAUACCGGAUAAUGUCUUCGGACCAAAGAUUUAUCGCCUUUGGAUGGGCCCGCGUUGGAUUAGCUAGUUGGUAGGGUAAAAGCCUACCAAGGCGACGAUCCAUAGCUGGUCUGAGAGGAUGAUCAGCCACACUGGGACUGAGACACGGCCCAGACUCCUACGGAGGGCAGAAGGGGGGAAUAUGGGACAAGGGGCGAAAGCCUAACCCCGCAAUCCCGGGUGGGUGAUGAAGGCCUUAGGGUUGAAAAGCUCUUUUCCCCGGGAUGAUAAUGACAGGACCGGGGAAAAAAGCCCCGCCAACCUCCUG
rnacentral:rRNA from 1 species